GACGAACGCUGGCGGCGUGCUUAACACAUGCAAGUCGAACGGUAAGGCCCUUCGGGGUACACGAGUGGCGAACGGGUGAGUAACACGUGGGUGAUCUGCCCUGCACUUCGGGAUAAGCCUGGGAAACUGGGUCUAAUACCGGAUAGGACCCUGGGAUGCAUGUCCUGGGGUGGAAAGCUUUUGCGGUGUGGGAUGGGCCCGCGGCCUAUCAGCUUGUUGGUGGGGGGAUGGCCUACCAAGGCGACGACGGGUAGCCGGCCUGAGAGGGUGACCGGCCACACUGGGACUGAGAUACGGCCCAGACUCCUGCGGGAGGCAGCAGUGGGGAAUAUUGCACAAUGGGCGCAAGCCUGAUGCGGCGACGCCGCGUGAGGGAUGACGGCCUUCGGGUUGUAAACCUCUUUCAGCACCGACGAAGCGCAAGUGACGGUAGGUGCAGAAGAAGGACCGGCCAACUACGUGCCAGCAGCCGCAGUAA
rnacentral:rRNA from 1 species